UACGUAGGUGGCAAGCGUUGUCCGGAAUUAUUGGGCGUAAAGCGCGCGCAGGCGGUCCUUUAAGUCUGAUGUGAAAGCCCACGGCUCAACCGUGGAGGGUCAUUGGAAACUGGGGGACUUGAGUGCAGGAGAGAAGAGUGGAAUUCCACGUGUAGCGGUGAAAUGCGUAGAGAUGUGGAGGAACACCAGUGGCGAAGGCGACUCUUUGGCCUGUAACUGACGCUGAGGCGCGAAGGCGUGGGGAGCGAACAGG
rnacentral:rRNA from 1 species